UACGAAGGGGGCGAGCGUUGUUCGGAAUUACUGGGCGUAAAGGGCGCGUAGGCGGUGUGCCAAGUCAGGCGUGAAAGCCCCGGGCUCAACCCUCGAAAGCCGGUGGAUACUGUCGGGCUAGAGUGCGGAAGAGGCGAGUGGAAUUCCUGGUGUAGCGGUGAAAUGCGCAGAUAUCAGGAGGAACACCAAUUGCGAAGGCAGCUCGCUGGGACGUUACUGACGCUGAGACGCGAAAGCGUGGGAGCAAACAGG
rnacentral:rRNA from 1 species